rnacentral:tRNA from 1 species
AGAUAGAGUUUAACAAAAACAUUAGAUUGUGAAUCUAAUAAUGAAAGUUCAAAACUUUUUCAAUCUG